UGAGGAAUAUUGGGCAAUGCCCGCAAGGGUGACCCAGCAACGCCGCGUGGAGGAUGAAUGUCGUAAGAUUGUAAACUCCUGUUAGAGGGGAAGAAUAGUACCGGUUGGACCGGUAUAUGACUGUACCCUCAGAGAAAGCCCCGGCUAACUACGUGCCAGCAGCCGCGGUAAUACGUAGGGGGCAAGCGUUGUCCGGAUUUACUGGGUGUAAAGGGCGCGCAGGCGGGAUAAAAAGUCAGUGGUGAAAUCCUACAGCUUAACUGUAGAACUGCCUUUGAUACUUUUAUUCUUGAGUUCGGGAGAGAGAGACGGAAUUCCAGGUGUAGUGGUGAAAUACGUAAAUAUCUGGAAGAACACCAGUUGCGAAGGCGGUCUCUUGGUCCGACACUGACGCUGAGGCGCGAAAGCGUGGGGAGCAAA
rnacentral:rRNA from 1 species